GAUGAACGCUGGCGGCGUGCCUAAUACAUGCAAGUCGAGCGAACAGACGAGGAGCUUGCUCCUCUGACGUUAGCGGCGGACGGGUGAGUAACACGUGGAUAACCUACCUAUAAGACUGGGAUAACUUCGGGAAACCGGAGCUAAUACCGGAUAAUAUAUUGAACCGCAUGGUUCAAUAGUGAAAGACGGUUUUGCUGUCACUUAUAGAUGGAUCCGCGCCGCAUUAGCUAGUUGGUAAGGUAACGGCUUACCAAGGCAACGAUGCGUAGCCGACCUGAGAGGGUGAUCGGCCAACCGGGAACUGAGGAACGGCCCGGACUCCUACGGAGGCAGCAGUAGGGAAUCUUCCGCAAUGGGCGAAAGCCUGACGGAGCAACGCCGCGUGAGUGAUGAAGGUCUUCGGAUCGUAAAACUCUGUUAUUAGGGAAGAACAAAUGUGUAAGUAACUAUGCACGUCUUGACGGUACCUAAUCAGAAAGCCACGGCUAACUACGUG
rnacentral:rRNA from 1 species